rnacentral:rRNA from 1 species
GACGAACGCUGGCGGCGUGCUUAACACAUGCAAGUCGAACGGAAAGGCCCUGCUUGCAGGGUACUCUAGUGGCGAACGGGUGAGUAACACGCGGAUGAUCUGCCCUGCACUUCGGGAUAAGCCUGGGAAACUGGGUCUAAUACCCGAUAGAAGCCAUUUUUCUUGUGAUGGUUGGAAAGUUUUUUCGGUGUAGGAUGAGCUCGCGGCCUAUCAGCUUGUUGGUGGGGUAAUGGCCUACCAAGGCGGCGGAGGGUAGCCGGCCUGGGAGGGUGGACGGGCAAAUUGGGACUGAGAUACGGCCCAGAAUCCUACGGGGGGCAGGAGUGGGGAAUAUUGCACAAUGGGGGCGAGCCUGAUGCAGCGACGCCGCGUGGGGGAUGACGGCCUUCGGGUUGGAAACUCGUUUCGCUAGGGACCAAGCUUUUUGUGACGGUACCUAGAUAAGAAGCACCGGCUAACUACGUG